UAAAAUUUGAAAACUCACAUAUAUAUUUGGAAGAACAAAGCUGUUUAGAAGAUGUGAAAUAUUUUUAAUUCUUAUCUAACGGGGAUCUUUACUAAUGUGAGCUAUACAUAUUUACCACAAAAACUAUUCAGAAAGGGCAUUGGGGCCAACAAAUCAGGAGACCUGAGGACUCAGGCUCACUCUGCAGCUGAUGUGAACUUGAAGACAAUCUUCCUCUGUCAUCCAUGCUGGAGUGCAGGCAGCAGUGUGCAAUUAUAG